rnacentral:rRNA from 1 species
GACGAACGCUGGCGGCGUGCCUAACACAUGCAAGUCGAGCGAAUGAAAUUCCUUCGGGAACGGAUUUAGCGGCGGACGGGUGAGUAACACGUGGGCAACCUGCCUCAUAGAGGGGAAUAGCCUUCCGAAAGGGAGAUUAAUACCGCAUAAGAUUGUAGUACCGCAUGGUACAGCAAUUAAAGGAGCAAUCCGCUAUGAGAUGGGCCCGCGGCGCAUUAGCUAGUUGGUGAGGUAACGGCUCACCGAGGCGACGAUGCGUAGCCGACCUGAGAGGGUGAUCGGCCACAUUGGGACUGAGACACGGCCCAGACUCCUACGGGAGGCAGCAGUGGGGAAUAUUGCACAAUGGGGGAAACCCUGAUGCAGCAACGCCGCGUGAGUGAUGACGGCCUUCGGGUUGUAAAGCUCUGUCUUCGGGGACGAUAAUGACGGUACCUGAGGAGGAAGCCACGGCUAACUACGUGCCAGCCGCCGCAGUAA